rnacentral:rRNA from 2 species
UACGGAGGGUGCAAGCGUUGUCCGGAUUUAUUGGGUUUAAAGGGUGCGUAGGCGGCUUUUUAAGUCAGUGGUGAAAUCCUGCAGCUUAACUGUAGAACAGCCAUUGAUACUGAAGAGCUUGAGUACAGACGAGGUAGGCGGAAUUUAUGGUGUAGCGGUGAAAUGCAUAGAUACCAUAAAGAACACCUAUUGCGAAGGCAGCUUACUAGGCUGUAACUGACGCUGAGGCACGAAAGCGUGGGGAUCAAACAGG